UACGUAGGGGGCAAGCGUUGUCCGGAUUUAUUGGGCGUAAAGAGCGUGUAGGCGGCCAGGUAGGUCUGGUGUGAAAACUCGAGGCUUAACCUCGAGCUGUCGGCGGAAACCAUCUGGCUAGAGUCCGGAAGAGGAGAAUGGAAUUCCCGGUGUAGCGGUGAAAUGCGCAGAUAUCAGGAGGAACACCGGUGGCGAAGGCGGUUCUCUGGGCCUGAUACUGACGCUGAGGAACGAAAGCGUGGGGAGCGAACAGGAUUAGAAACCCCCAGU
rnacentral:rRNA from 1 species